UAGAGAGAGGAGAGGGUGUUAUAUAGAGAGAGGAGAGGGUGUUAUAUAGAGAGAGGAGAGGGUGUUAUAUAGAGAGAGGGAGGUAGAGAGGAGAGGGAGUUAUAUAGAGAGAAGGAGGUAGAGAGGAGAGGGAGUUAUGUAGAGAGGAGAGGGAGGUAUAUAGAGAGGGAGUUAUAUAGAGAGAGGGAGGUAGAGAGGAGAGGGUGUUAUAUAGAGAGGGAGUUAUAUAGAGAGAGGGAGGUAGAGAGGAGAGGGUGUUAUAUAGAGAGGAGGUAGAGAGGAGAGGGAGUUAUAUAGAGAGGGAG
rnacentral:lncRNA from 1 species